rnacentral:rRNA from 2 species
AUGAUGACUCUCGGCAACGGAUAUCUCGGCUCUCGCAUCGAUGAAGAACGUAGCGAAAUGCGAUACCUGGUGUGAAUUGCAGAAUCCCGUGAGCCAUCGAGUCUUUGAACGCAAGUUGCGCCCGAGGCCACCCGGUCGAGGGCACGCCUGCCUGGGCGUCACUC